CCCGCCCCACCGGCCCCGGCGCAGCCGCGGAAGCCCCGAGCCCGGCGCGCGCUGCGGUCCGCGGGGGGUCCGGGCCGGGCGGGGGUCGCGGAGGGCGUGGCCGGCGGCGCGGGGGCGGGGGCCGGGCGGGCGCGGGGGGCGGGGCGGUCCCCGGGGCGUGGCCAUGCAGGCGCUGGUGUCGCCGGUGACGAAGGCGGUGCUGGUGGCGCUGUUCAUCUUCGCGAUCCUGCUGAUCCUGUACGUGAUCCUGUGGUACAUCUGCCGCGACGUGGACUGCGACCACGGCCUCUGACGUCAGCGCGUCACCCACCGCGUCAUCACCCGUGUCGUCAUCACCAGCGAGUGACGUCAUCAUCACCGUCAAUAUAUAUAUAUACGCACACAGACCAUCCGCCCGCUGUACGUGAUCCUGGGGUUCAUCUGCCGCGACGUGGACUGCGACCACGGCCUGUGACGUCAGCGCGUCACCCACCGCGUCAUCACCCGUGUCGUCAUCACCAGCGAGUGACGUCAUCGCCACCGUCAAUAUAUAUAUGCACACAGACCAUCCGCCCGCUGUACGUGAUCCUGGGGUUCAUCUGCCGCGACGUGGACUGCGACCACGGCCUGUGACGUCAGCGCGUACGGGUGACGUCAUCAUCAGCGUCUUCAUCAUCCGUGAGUGACGUCAUCGCCACCGUCAAUAUAUAUAUACACACACAGACCAUCCGCCCGCUGAUCCUGUAUGUGAUCCUGUGGUUCAUCUGCCGCGACGUGGACUGCGACCACGGGCUGUGACGUCAGCGCGUCAUUGCGUUAUCCAUUGCGUCAUCUUCCGUGAGUGACGUCAUCAUCUAUAUUAUAUAUUAUAUAUAUAUAUAUAUAUAUAUAUAUAUAUAUGCACACAUAGAUCAUCCGCCCGCUGUACGUGACCCUGUGGUUCAUCGGCCUCUGACGUCAGGACGUCAUCCAUCGCGUCAUCCGUCAGUGAGUGACGUCAUCAUCAAAACAUCACCGUAUAUGUACACACAUAGAUCAUCCGCCCCCUGGUCCUGUACGUGAUCCUGUUAUACAUUUGCCGCGACGUCGACUGUGACCACCGGCUGUGAGGUCAGCGCGCGAGGGUGACGUCAUUAUCCGUGUCGUCAUCAUCAGUGAGUGACGUCGUCAUACAUAAAUAUGCAUAGAUACAGAUCAUCCGCCUGCUGUAUGUGACCCUGUGGUUCAUCUGACUCAACGUCGACUGUGAGACGUCGACUGCGACCCCGGCCUCUGACGUCAUGACGUCAGCCACCGCGUCAUCCUCAGUGAGUGACGUCAUCCGUCAGUGACGUCAUCGUCACAUCAAUAUAGAUAUAGAUCAUCCGCCCACUGACCCUGUGGUUCAUCUACUGUGACCUGCACUGCUCUGUCGUCAUGACGUAACACGCUACGUCAUCUCACGUCAUCAUCAGACUCAGAUCUACCGCGACCUGUCAUUUGACGUCAGUGGGACACGGCUGCCGCAUCCCAGUGACGUCAUCAGUAACGUCGCUCAUCUGCUGUGACGCUGACUGACACCGCAACCUGUGACACCAUCACGGACGAGGGCAGCGAGGGCGUCUGUGACGUCAGAGAGUGACAGUCCAGGUCGGUGUCCCGCAGAGAGUGUGACGUCAGACAACAGUCCCGCCCCGCCGUGGGGUCUCCGACACACACGUGGGAGGUCAGAGUGACCCCAGGGUGACGUCAGCGCAGAGCGACCACCGAGUGACCCCAGAGUGACUUCAGCACAGAGUGAUCCCAGAGUGACGUCAGCACAGAGUGACCCCAGAGUGACGUCAGGGAAGAGCGACCCCAUAGUGACCCCAGAGUGACGUCAGCGAUACCCCGUACCGACCGGGAGCCCAGGACCUGACGUGCAGGUGAGUGACCAGGUGACGCAGGCAGAGUUAUGCAAAUGAGUUUGGGUGACCUCAACGUGACCCCUGACGUCACCCUCGAGGCCACCCGGACCCCUCCCUGGAGGCGACCCCCUGACCUCAGCUCCUACGUCAGCAGCGCGGGCAGCUGGUUCCUGCGGAGCCAUCAUAAUUCAUGCAAAUUCAUGCAAAUUUAUGCAGAUUUAUGAAAAUUAACGCUGACGAGGGUGAUCUGAGCUGCGGAGAGGAUGAACGCAAAUCUGCGCGGCUCCCGCUCGCUCCUCACUGAGCGCAGUGACCUCACGUGACCUCAUGUGACCUCACGUGACCCCUCGAAGGGCAGCAGCGUUCUGCUAAUUAAGAACUCAUUAUGCUCAUUCAUGCUGAUUCCCAUUAACUGGAUGACGUCAUUGGGGUGGGAACAGUGCCCAGCGUGACCUUGCGGCGACCCCCGGGUGACAACUGUGACGUCACCAUCCUCCUCCUCCACCCCCGCCAGGUGACAUCAUCGCGACCCUGAGAUGGCAGCGGGAGACCCCGUGUGACCCCCGUGUGACAUCACCGAGACCCCAGCGACGUCAGCACUAAUCCCGGAGCCCAGGGCCGCCAUGCAUCCCCCAGGCCGCCACCGGCCCACCCCCGCCGGGUUCCCGCCCCGACCGACAGGAGCCCCGCCCCUGAUGUUCACGGGCGGCCCCGCCCUCCACGCCGCGAAUCAUCCUGCCAAGCCAUGAGAGGGCGGGGCACCCAGGCCGGACCCGCCGAAGUCACGGGCCACGCCCACCCGCCACGCCCAGCCAUGUCUUCCUCUCUCUGCCCAUCACGUGCCUGGACCCUGUGACGUCACCCGAGACCUCCCGUGACCCCUCGUGACUCAACGUGACCCCAACGUGACCCCGAGCCCUGCGUUUCCACCCUGUGACGUCAUAGUCCGUCCAUCAGUCCCCGAGCUCCAUGUUCUACUCAGUGCAGAGUCAUCAGGCCACGCCCCGUGACGUCACAUCCGCUGUGUCUGGGGGAGGGGGCGGGGACAUCGAUGCCAACAAAGAAAUAAAUAAAUAAAAAUGGUAUUUUUGAC
ensembl:lncRNA